GUCAAAUAAAAAUAGGUUUACGGCGGAUACCUAGGCAUCCAGAGACGAAGAAGGGCGUGGCAACCGACGAGACACUUCGAGGAGCUGGAAACAAGCUAUGAGUCGAAGAUUCCCUAAUAGGGCAACCUCAAGAACUUCUUAUUGAAUUCAUAGAUAAGAAAGAGACAACCCGGUGAAUUGAAACAUCUCAGUAGCCGGAGGAGAAGAAAGCAACAGCGAUUCCCUUAGUAGCGGCGAGCGAAGCGGGAACAGCCUAAACCCAUUGAACGUCAUGUUUCGUGGGGGUCGUGGGAGGAUAUAUGCAUAGAAUUUGGGUAGACGAAGCAGCUGAUACCUGCACCAUAGACGGUGAUAGUCCGGUAGUUAAAACCUAAAUAAAAGCAGAAAUGAAUUCAAUUAAGAAUUGGUGAUCAAUAUAUUUAAUCCCAAGUAGCAUGGGGCACGUGAAAUCCCGUGUGAAUCAGCGAGGACCACCUCGUAAGGCUAAAUACUCCUGGGUGACCGAUAGCGAAAUAGUACCGUGAGGGAAAGGUGAAAGAGAACCCCUGAAGGGGAGUGAAAUAGUAUAUGAAACCGUAAUCUGACAAGCAGUGGGAGGGUGAAGAGCCUGACCGCGUGCCUGUGGAAGAAUGAACCGGCGACUUAUAGGGAGUGGCUUGGUUAAGGACAUUUAUCCGAAGCCAAAGCGAAAGCAAGUUUUCAUAGAGCGUUUUUGUCACUUCUUAUGGACCCGAACCCGGGUGAUCUAACCAUGACCAGGAUGAAACUUGGGUAACACCAAGUGAAGGUCCGAACUCAUCGAUGUUGAAAAAUCGUGGGAUGAGUUGUGGUUAGGGGUGAAAUGCCAAUCGAACUCGGAGCUAGCUGGUUCUCCCCGAAAUGUGUUGAGGCGCAGCGGUUGACGAAAUAAAAGGGCUACUCGGGGGUAAAGCACUGUUUCGGUGCGGGCUGCGAAAGCGGUACCAAAUCGUGGCAAACUAAGAAUACCGGGUAUUGCUUCCCGUCAACCAGUGAGACAGUGGGGGAUAAGCUCCAUUGUCAAGAGGGAAACAGCCCAGAUCACCAGCUAAGGCCCCAAAAUGACAGCUAAGUGGUAAAGGAGGUGAGAGUGCAUAAACAACCAGGAGGUUUGCUUAGAAGCAGCCAUCCUUUAAAGAGUGCGUAAUAGCUCACUGGUGGAGCGCUCUUGCGCCGAAAAUUUAUGGGACUAAGCUGUCUGCCGAAGCUGUGGGAUGUUGAAAAGCAUGUUGCAAAAUCUAAGACUUCCACCAAAGGUGGUGCGAUCACCAAAGGUGUUCGCCACCGGCGAGUCGAAAGCACAGAGUGCUGACCCUCCACCAAAGGUGGUGUGGAAGGAUUUGAAAAAUCUGAGACGGCAGUCGAAGGAUUGUAAAAACAGUGUUUGUAUCAGCAUCGGUAGGGGAGCGUUCCGCUCUAGGUUGAAGCAUCUGUGUAAAUCGGUGUGGACGAAGCGGAAGUGAGAAUGUCGGUUUGAGUAACGAAAACAUUGGUGAGAAUCCAAUGCCCCGAAAACCUAAGGGUUCCUUCACUAGGUUCGUCCAUGGAGGGUGAGUCAGGUCCUAAGGCUAGGCCGAGAGGCGUCGUCGAUGGGAAGCAGGUUAAUAUUCCUGUACUACUUAUGGUGUGUACCGAGGGACGGAGUAGGCAUCUAUACACCAGAGUUGGAUCUGGUGAGAGGCGUUCAAGGUGAUGAGAGAUAGAAUAAAAACUAUUCUUGAGCUGAGUCGCGUUAUGGCUUUACUCUUGACUGCCAUCUUUUUGGUGGUCGGAUGAGGUUUAUAUGUCAUGUCAAACUUCCAAGAAAAGCUCGAACUACUAAUCAACCAUAAAGUAUCUGUACCCGAAACCGACACAGGUAGGUAGGUAGAGUAUACCAAGGGGCGCGAGAUAACUCUCUCUAAGGAACUCGGCAAAAUAGCCCCGUAACUUCGGGAGAAGGGGUGCCACUUUUUAAAAGAAAGUGGUCGCAGUGAGCAGGCCCAGGCGACUGUUUACCAAAAACACAGGUCUCCGCUAAGUCGUAAGACAAUGUAUGGGGGCUGACGCCUGCCCGGUGCUGGAAGGUAAAGGAAGUUGGUUAUUCUUCGGGAGAAGCUGACGACCGAAGCCCCAGUGAACGGCGGCCGUAACUAUGACGGUCCUAAGGUAGCGAAAUUCCUUGUCAGGUAAGUUCUGACCCGCACGAAAGGCGUAACGAUCUGGGCACUGUCUCGGAGAGAGACUCGGUGAAAUAGACAUGUCCGUGAAGAUGCGGACUACUUGCACCUGGACAGAAAGACCCUAUGAAGCUUUACUGUAGCCUGACAUUGGGUUUGGGCUCCUCUUGCGCAGCCUAGGUGGGAGGCAACGAUAUCUUCCUUGCGGGGAAGGUGGAGCCGCUAUUGAGAGACCACUCUGGAAGAGCUAAAAUUCUAAUGGUGAUCCUUGAAUCAGGACACUUGACAGUGUCAGGCGGGCAGUUUGACUGGGGCGGUCGCCUCCUAAAAAGUAACGGAGGUGUGCAAAGGUUCCCUCAAGCUGGACGGAAAUCAGCUGUAGAGUGUAAAGGCAUAAGGGAGCUUGACUGCAAGACCUACAAGUCGAGCAGGGGCGAAAGCCGGCCUUAGUGAUCCGACGGUGCCGCGUGGAAGGGCCGUCGCUCAACGGAUAAAAGUUACUCUAGGGAUAACAGGCUGAUCUUCCCCAAGAGUCCACAUCGACGGGAAGGUUUGGCACCUCGAUGUCGGCUCAUCGCAUCCUGGGGCGGUAGUACGUCCCAAGGGUUGGGCUGUUCGCCCAUGAAAGCGGUACGUGAGCUGGGUUCAGAACGUCGUGAGACAGUUCGGUCCAUAUCCGGUGUGAGCGCUAGAGUAUUGAGAGGAGCCUUCCAUAGUACGAGAGGACCUGGAAGGACGCACCUCUGGUGUACCAGUUCUCCCGCCAGGGGGAAACGCUGGGUAGCCAUGUGCGGAGCGAAUAACUGCUGAAAGCAUCUAAGUAGGAAGUCCACCUCAAGAUGAGUACUCUCUGCAUGAACUACGUUCAUGCUAUACGCCAUGGCAAGACUAGCCGUUUGAUAGGUAUCAAGUGUAAGGUCAGCAAUGGCUUGAGCUGAGAUGCACUAAUAGGCGUAGUGAGUUUGAC
rnacentral:rRNA from 1 species